rnacentral:rRNA from 1 species
UACGUAGGGGGCAAGCGUUAUCCGGAUUUACUGGGUGUAAAGGGUGCGUAGGCGGAUUUUUAAGUCAGCGGUAAAAUGUCCGGGCUCAACCCGGGCCGGCCGUUGAAACUGGGGAUCUUGAGUGGGCGAGAAGUAUGCGGAAUGCGUGGUGUAGCGGUGAAAUGCAUAGAUAUCACGCAGAACUCCGAUUGCGAAGGCAGCAUACCGGCGCCCGACUGACGCUGAGGCACGAAAGCGUGGGGAUCGAACAGG